UACGUAGGGGGCUAGCGUUGUCCGGAAUCAUUGGGCGUAAAGAGCGCGUAGGCGGCUAGAUAAGUCCGGUGUGAAAGUCACAGGCUCAACCUGUGAAUGCCGCUGGAAACUGUCUGGCUAGAGUCCGGAAGGGGCGAGUGGAAUUCCUGGUGUAGCGGUGAAAUGCGCAGAUAUCAGGAGGAACACCAAUGGCGAAGGCAGCUCGCUGGGACGUGACUGACGCUGAGACGCGAAAGCGUGGGGAGCAAACAGG
rnacentral:rRNA from 1 species